rnacentral:tRNA from 1 species
GCCUGGGUGGCUCAGUCGGUUGAGCAUCCGACUUCAGCUCAGGUCACGGUUCGUGAGUUCAAGCCCCGCGUCAGGCU